rnacentral:rRNA from 1 species
CAGGGUGACAGCCCCGUACACAAAAAUGCACAUACUGUGAGCUCGAUGAGUAGGGCGGGACACGUGGUAUCCUGUCUGAAUAUGGGGGGACCAUCCUCCAAGGCUAAAUACUCCUGACUGACCGAUAGUGAACCAGUACCGUGAGGGAAAGGCGAAAAGAACCCCGGCGAGGGGAGUGAAAAAGAACCUGAAACCGUGUACGUACAAGCAGUGGGAGCCUCUUAAUGGGGUGACUGCGUACCUUUUGUAUAAUGGGUCAGCGACUUAUAUUCUGUAGCAAGGUUAACCGAAUAGGGGAGCCGAAGGGAAACCGAGUCUUAACUGGGCGUUAAGUUGCAGGGUAUAGACCCGAAACCCGGUGAUCUAGCCAUGGGCAGGUUGAAGGUUGGGUAACACUAACUGGAGGACCGAACCGACUAAUGUUGAAAAAUUAGCGGAUGACUUGUGGCUGGGGGUGAAAGGCCAAUCAAACCGGGAGAUAGCUGGUUCUCCCCGAAAGCUAUUUAGGUAGCGCCUCGUGAAUUCAUCUCCGGGGGUAGAGCACUGUUUCGGCAAGGGGGUCAUCCCGACUUACCAACCCGAUGCAAACUGCGAAUACCGGAGAAUGUUAUCACGGGAGACACACGGCGGGUGCUAACGUCCGUCGUGAAGAGGGAAACAACCCAGACCGCCAGCUAAGGUCCCAAAGUCAUGGUUAAGUGGGAAACGAUGUGGGAAGGCCCAGACAGCCAGGAUGUUGGCUUAGAAGCAGCCAUCAUUUAAAGAAAGCGUAAUAGCUCACUGGUCGAGUCGGCCUGCGCGGAAGAUGUAACGGGGCUAAACCAUGCACCGAAGCUGCGGCAGCGACACUAUGUGUUGUUGGGUAGGGGAGCGUUCUGUAAGCCUGUGAAGGUGUACUGUGAGGUAUGCUGGAGGUAUCAGAAGUGCGAAUGCUGACAUAAGUAACGAUAAAGCGGGUGAAAAGCCCGCUCGCCGGAAGACCAAGGGUUCCUGUCCAACGUUAAUCGGGGCAGGGUGAGUCGACCCCUAAGGCGAGGCCGAAAGGCGUAGUCGAUGGGAAACAGGUUAAUAUUCCUGUACUUGGUGUUACUGCGAAGGGGGGACGGAGAAGGCUAUGUUGGCCGGGCGACGGUUGUCCCGGUUUAAGCGUGUAGGCUGGUUUUCCAGGCAAAUCCGGAAAAUCAAGGCUGAGGCGUGAUGACGAGGCACUACGGUGCUGAAGCAACAAAUGCCCUGCUUCCAGGAAAAGCCUCUAAGCAUCAGGUAACAUCAAAUCGUACCCCAAACCGACACAGGUGGUCAGGUAGAGAAUACCAAGGCGCUUGAGAGAACUCGGGUGAAGGAACUAGGCAAAAUGGUGCCGUAACUUCGGGAGAAGGCACGCUGAUAUGUAGGUGAAGUCCCUCGCGGAUGGAGCUGAAAUCAGUCGAAGAUACCAGCUGGCUGCAACUGUUUAUUAAAAACACAGCACUGUGCAAACACGAAAGUGGACGUAUACGGUGUGACGCCUGCCCGGUGCCGGAAGGUUAAUUGAUGGGGUUAGCGGUAACGCGAAGCUCUUGAUCGAAGCCCCGGUAAACGGCGGCCGUAACUAUAACGGUCCUAAGGUAGCGAAAUUCCUUGUCGGGUAAGUUCCGACCUGCACGAAUGGCGUAAUGAUGGCCAGGCUGUCUCCACCCGAGACUCAGUGAAAUUGAACUCGCUGUGAAGAUGCAGUGUACCCGCGGCAAGACGGAAAGACCCCGUGAACCUUUACUAUAGCUUGACACUGAACAUUGAGCCUUGAUGUGUAGGAUAGGUGGGAGGCUUUGAAGUGUGGACGCCAGUCUGCAUGGAGCCGGCCUUGAAAUACCACCCUUUAAUGUUUGAUGUUCUAACGUUGGCCCCUGACCGGGGUUGCGGACAGUGUCUGGUGGGUAGUUUGACUGGGGCGGUCUCCUCCUAAAGAGUAACGGAGGAGCACGAAGGUUGGCUAAUCCUGGUCGGACAUCAGGAGGUUAGUGCAAUGGCAUAAGCCAGCUUGACUGCGAGCGUGACGGCGCGAGCAGGUGCGAAAGCAGGUCAUAGUGAUCCGGUGGUUCUGAAUGGAAGGGCCAUCGCUCAACGGAUAAAAGGUACUCCGGGGAUAACAGGCUGAUACCGCCCAAGAGUUCAUAUCGACGGCGGUGUUUGGCACCUCGAUGUCGGCUCAUCACAUCCUGGGGCUGAAGUAGGUCCCAAGGGUAUGGCUGUUCGCCAUUUAAAGUGGUACGCGAGCUGGGUUUAGAACGUCGUGAGACAGUUCGGUCCCUAUCUGCCGUGGGCGCUGGAGAACUGAGGGGGGCUGCUCCUAGUACGAGAGGACCGGAGUGGACGCAUCACUGGUGUUCGGGUUGUCAUGCCAAUGGCACUGCCCGGUAGCUAAAUGCGGAAGAGAUAAGUGCUGAAAGCAUCUAAGCACGAAACUUGCCCCGAGAUGAGUUCUCCCUGACUCCUUGAGAGUCCUGAAGGAACGUUGAAGACGACGACGUUGAUAGGCCGGGUGUGUAAGCGCAGCGAUGCGUUGAGCUAACCGGUACUAAUGAACCGUGAG